rnacentral:rRNA from 1 species
UAAGCAUAUCAAUAAGCGGAGGAAAAGAAACUAACAAGGAUUCCCCUAGUAACUGCGAGUGAAGCGGGAAAAGCUCAAAUUUAAAAUCUGGUGGCCUUUGGUCAUCCGAGUUGUAAUUUAGAGAAGCGUCUUCCGCGCCGGACCGUGCACAAGUCUCCUGGAAUGGAGCGUCAUAGAGGGUGAGAAUCCCGUCUUUGGCACGGACACACCGGGGCUUCUGUGAUGCGCUCUCGAAGAGUCGAGUUGUUUGGGAAUGCAGCUCAAAAUGGGUGGUGAACUCCAUCUAAAGCUAAAUAUUGGCGAGAGACCGAUAGCGAACAAGUACCGUGAGGGAAAGAUGAAAAGCACUUUGGAAAGAGAGUGAAACAGUACGUGAAAUUGUUGAAAGGGAAACGCUUGAAGUCAGUCGCGUCGACCGAGACUCAGCCUCGCCUCGGCUUGGUGUACUUCUCGGCUGACGGGUCAGCAUCAAUUUUGCCCCUCGGAUAAUGGCAAGGGAAAGGUGGCACCUACGGGUGUGUUAUAGUCUCCUGUCGCAUGCGAGGGUCGGGAUUGAGGAACUCAGCACGCACCUCUCGGUGUCGGGGCCUCGGCUCACGUUACGUGCUUAGGAUGCUGGCGUAAUGGCUUUAAACGACCCGUCUUGAAACACGGACCAAGGAGUCUAACAUGCCCGCGAGUGUUCGGGUGGAAAACCCGUGCGCGUAAUGAAAGUGAAAGUUGGGACCUCUGUCGUGGAGGGCACCGACGCCCGGACCAGACCUUCUGUGACGGAUCUGCGGUAGAGCGUGCAUGUUGGGACCCGAAAGAUGGUGAACUAUGCCUGAAUAGGGUGAAGCCAGAGGAAACUCUGGUGGAGGCUCGUAGCGAUUCUGACGUGCAAAUCGAUCGUCAAAUUUGGGUAUAGGGGCGAAAGACUAAUCGAACCAU